rnacentral:sRNA from 1 species
CGCCUUUUUGCUAUGCGCAGAAUGUAACGAUUCGAACCUGCUGCAGGUUCGGGUCUCACGCAGUGAGACAACGGAGCCGCUGGCGGCGACGGCCCGAAGGGCGAGGCGAAGCCGAGUCAUCCUGCACGACCCACCA